rnacentral:sRNA from 1 species
AAGUGGGUCAGGGCCGGGCCGGCGGAGCGCGCAGCGGGGGCUACAGAUUCUUUCCACCAUGGCCAGACGCCCCCGGAACAGCAGGGCCUGGCACUUCGUCCUGAGUGCAGCCCGCCGAGACGCAGAUGCCCGGGCCGUGGCUCUAGCAGGCUCCACCAACUGGGGCUACGACUCUGAUGGGCAGGUAGGUCCCAGCGGGCGAGGCGGACGUGGCUGGCCUAAGGUGUGGAGAUGCCCUAGGCAGGCAGGCAGGCAUUACCUGAACAGGGAAUCAGUCGGAGGGAAAGAUGCUUCUGAGGCCAGAGGCCCAGUCCAACCCUGGGCCUGUCUCCUGGAUGCACCACAUUCUCACAGUGACUCGGACUCCGACCCCGAGUACUCCACGCUGCCGCCAUCCAUCCCCAGUGCGGUGCCCGUGACCGGCGAGUCCUUCUGUGACUGUGCUGGGCAGGGUGAGGCCUCCUCCUGUAGCAGCCUGCACGCGGCCCACCGGGGCAAGGACUGCCGCUGCGGAGAGGAAGACGAGUGUGAGCGUGGGGCCCAGCCCCUGCUGGGACUGCACUGCGGGUGGGCCUGGGAGCGGGCAGGGCAGAGCCCCAUGGAGCUCUCGGGGCUGCCCCAGCCUGGGCCUCUCUUGCAGAUUUCGACUGGGUCUGGGAUGACUUGAAUAAGUCAUCAGCUACCCUGCUGAGCUGUGACAACCGUAAGGUCAGCUUCCACAUGGAGUACAGCUGCGGCACAGCGGCCAUCCGGGGCACCAAGGAGCUGGGGGAGGGCCAGCACUUCUGGGAGAUCAAGAUGACCUCACCCGUCUAUGGCACCGACAUGGUAAGUUGCUUCGGCCCAGGGUGCUUCUGGGGAACCUGGCUCCAGCAGCCCAGCCCUGCGCCCUCUGCCU